GGAGAGGAGAGGAGAGGAGAGGAGAGGAGAGGAGAGGAGAGGAGAGGAGAGGAGAGGAGAGGAGAGGAGAGGAGAGGAGAGGAGAGAAGAGAAGAGAAGAGAAGAGAAGAGAAGAGAAGAGAAGAGAAGAGAAGAGAAGAGAAGAGAAGAGAAGAGAAGAGAAGAGAAGAGAAGAGAAGAGAAGAGAAGAGAAGAGAAGAGAAGAGAAGAGAAGAGAAGAGAAGAGAAGAGAAGAGAAGAGAAGAGAGAAGAAACCACCAAAACAAGUCAAACCAAACCACUACAACCAACAGCAAAACACACACCAAAACCAACCACACAAAAAAUCUUGGCAGAUUUCUGACUUGAUACCUUCGACAUCCUGCCACAGGAGAGAACUGAAGCAGAGAUGUAAUGGGAAGACCUUUACAAGCAAACAACCUGGACCUUUCUUUACACUUUCAAACAGGUUGACACAGGUACAAACUGUAAGCAGAUUUAGAAACUACAGCGUUACUUUAUCAGAGAUCUUCUGCACUUCAGGUCUGAGAACAGGAUGUUAAGAAAGGUGGUUACAUCUGUCUGUUGGUUGUUUGGGGAUUUAUUCAUUGGAACAACUAUUCUGAAAGAGCCUUCCAGAAAGCUGUGUCUCCUGGUACUAUGGAAACACCGCUUUGCAAAAUGUCAUAUUCAAAGUGCAAGUUCUAAGAGUACUUCAUUAUAGAAGUGGACACAGUUUCUCCUGCUAAGCAAAUGGCGUUACUCAAGAGGGAUGAGGAGCAAGAGGGGAUGGUGGCUGCAUAUUGUGGCUCCAGGCCUCGUGCACAGCACUGUUAAAUGAUUGUAGGUGCUCAUAGCAAGUCUUGAUUUGGAGAGCUCAAUCUGCCAUACAACCACGAAGAAAUUGACUUCAAUUAAGCAAGGAUAAGCAGUGAACAUCAAAUCAGGGACAUUUAUGAAGGAAAGCAUUGAGCAGAUAUGUGGGUGGCAUUGCAGGGGGCAAUGAUGUGAUUUUCCCUGAAGAAGUCACGGCUGGAGUAUCAGGGCUCCUGCCUUAACCCUGGAAGACCAAGCUCUAAGACCCUGCGGUGCAGAGGCCCUGGCUCAUACAUUACAUGUCUCAAUGCAGAGCCUAAUCCACUUAGGCAAGCACGGAGUGAAAAUAUCAUUGCCUUUACAACAAGAGCCGAAGGCUACAACAAAUCUAAAUGCCAUAGCUCCAUCAAAAUAAACGCUCAAAGCCAUCUUGACAUUGAGGAGAUGGGGUUGAGAAAGACAUCGAGAAUGAGAUUUUUUGGAAGAGUUUAUCUCACUCUUCAUGCAGAUGUAGCUGCAUUUUAAGAGGAUUCUAGUGCCUUUAUAAUAUUUUUGUACUUUUAGGGAGCUCAAGAAACUUUUCUUCUGCCACUUAUUUUCUGAGCUGUGAAUUAUAGGAUGUUAUUACUCUUUCUGCAGUGGUGAGCAUAUAGCCUAAUUACAAUGCCCACCAAACCGGCAAAAGAGAAAGCUAUCUGUCCAAAAUACAUCCGACAUCAUGCCUGUUAAAGAAGUAAGUAUACAUUCAUCUGCAUUACUGAGGGAACAAUCCACAGAAAGAUACUUAAGAAUCCUCUUUAGUAAUGUCAAUUAUGAAAGCAAAGCCUAGAAGGAUGAAGUGAAUGGCGGGACAUUUUAUGUAGUGUAUAGAGAUGCAAAUUACUUAACUUUAAUCCUGGUCUGUGCAACUAGAACCACAGCAUUUCAGCUUACAUUUCUUUCCUCUUUUUUUAAGAUAUGUAUUAUUUCAAACAUGCCAAAAUUAUAAUCUUGCCACAACCUGCAUAGCAACAUUGCAUCCUGUUCAUGUUUGAGAGCUUUGGGAAGACAGUUUUAAGUUUUUAAAUGAAGGAAUCCAGUUGUCCUUGUAAGUAUCCCAGUGCUUGGCAGGAGUCCACUAUUUGCAGGAGGUGCUGCUCUUACCACCUGAUUUAUUGAUAGUUUCAGUGGAGUUACACUGUUUUGCAAUUCUGAUAGCUCCAUUAGAAAAUUGUGAUGUGGCAUUAAAAUUUUAACGGGCAAUGCUCUGUUUGCAUUUUGUCCCACUUAGCAUGAGAUUGCAAGAGACGAGUAAGGAAAAAAUAUUAAGCAUUCAUAAAACACUUACACAAAAGCUAAAAUUCCAAGGACUAAAGAACAGACAAGAAGAAUGAUAAAAAGAAGAAUGGCUAGAAAUGAUUAAAUUUUAAAAAAACAAACUCUGUACAUCUUCUAUAUUUAUUUAUUUAUUUUGAUAAUACUGAAAUAUUCAUCAUUUACCAAAUUACGGCUGCAUGUUUUUGCUCAGUGGUUAAGUCUGACCUCUGCCAGCAUAGAAUACUAAAACUAUCCUAGAUCUACUGAGAUUUUGUGAGUGUAAAUAUAAUCAAAUUCUCAGAAACCAUAAAUUGUGUUUAUACAUCACUGUUGAACAUUCUUGUACUUUCACUGCACUGUUUUCCAUUCUAUAGAGAUGUCUGGGGACAGUUUGCCUUCUUUAUUUGAUUAUUUUGGCUUUCAGAACACUUUUUAUUUUACAUAGUAGCAUAACAAUAUAUGGUUCUUUGUGGGUCGAUUUAAUACUUGCAUAAUUUUUAGAACACUUCCUUACAAACUGACCAUAAAUGGAUCUUUUACCCUGCAGAAUCCCUGAUAAAAAAGGUUCUCACUACCACCAAUAGGGAUAGAGGGGGUGGAGUGGGUAGACUUUCAAAUUUGCUUUUACAAGUGCAAAUCCUCAGGCAAAAUAAACAACAUUAUUUCAGAUUAAAAAAAUACACACAGAGGUGAUAAGGAAAAAUCUAAUGUGUGUAGAAAGCUGUGCUUUAGCAAACCAGGUAUAUGUUGGUAUGUUUGCUUAUUUUUUAAGUUUUCCAGUACCAAAAUGCAUGUUUAAAUGAUUGCAUUUGACAAAGGAAAGACAAGGAAAAAUGGUGCAGCAUCUUUAAUUUAUCAGUUUACAUGAGAUGCAGGCAAUAGCCUGUGGGUACCAGAUUGUGAUUUUUCUACUCAAGUACAUUCUCAUGUUUUACUGAUGAGCUAUAUGCCAGACCCUUGUGUUCUGUAUAGUAAGAGUUUCAUGGAACAUCUGCUUCAAUUGCUCUAUCUCUUGUUUUGUUUUGUCACUAAACUCAUGCUACAGAAGCACUGACUAUAAAAGAAGCUACUUUAAUUCAAUAGCAUAUCAGGAAGGCAGAUUUUCUAAUGCUUGUAAUACAGCUAUUUUGUGUCUCAUGCUUUUCUUUGCACCAAAACUGGUAUGACUAUUGACACAAUAUUCUGCCAUACUUCAUAGAAUGCAGUUUUUAGACCAAUAAAUAGUUUUUAACAAGAAAAGUUGUGUGUACAUACAUGCAUGCAUGUGAAGCCACAUGCAGAAUGCCAUGUAGAGAGGGGUAUGUGCAUACCUGCACCUCCAAUGGCACGUACAAAGACACUUACUAAAGCCCACAUAUGCAAUUACUGGAAUAGUAACAUUUCCCUCAUUUCCAAAGUCAUGUAUCACAAAGGAAGCCAACAGAGAAAGUAAGUCAAUAAGGUCAGAAUAGCUUUGACUGUUGUUACUAAUUGUAUGCUUUAGCAUUUACAUAGCAAAUGGCAUUGGAUAUCCUAUAUGUGUUUAAACCGGAAGGUUAAAAUGGUUUACAAGGAUAAGAACAUUAUAUGGAAUAUUAAAACAAUGUACAUCAACCUCUGUCAGUUUACUUACUAUCUUGUCUCGUUUGACAGCCUUGGUUAUUCAGGUUGCAAAAGGAGCACAAGGAUUUAAGGCUUGCAGUUUCACUUUCAACUCCUGUACUGUGGUUAAAGUUGGCUUGAAAUAAAUGUUGAUUAACUGUAUGAAAAUGCAGUGAUUAAUAGUGUAUUAAACCUGAAACUGUGUCUACGGAAUAUGACUUCUGCGCUGUUCUUUAAUAAUUUCAUGGAAUAAAUGCAGGAAGGAAAAAAAGGGAGG
ensembl:lncRNA